rnacentral:rRNA from 1 species
AGAGUUUGAUCAUGCUCAGACGACGCUGCGCGUGCCUAACACAUGCAAGUCGAACGGGGUUGUCCUUCGGGGACAACUUAGUGGCGAACGGGUGAGUAACGCGUGAGGAACCUGCCUUUCAGUGGGGGACAACAGUUGGAAACGACUGCUAAUACCGCAUAAUGUUGUCGGAUGGCAUCAUCUGGCAACCAAAGCUUUAUGUGCUGAAAGAUGGCCUCGCGUCUGAUUAGAUAGUUGGUGAGGUAACGGCUCACCAAGUCGACGAUCAGUAGCCGGACUGAGAGGUUGAACGGCCACAUUGGGACUGAGAUACGGCCCAGACUCCUACGGGAGGCAGCAGUGGGGAAUAUUGGGCAAUGGGGGAAACCCUGACCCAGCAACGCCGCGUGAAGGAAGAAGGCCUUCGGGUUGUAAACUUCUUUUAGCAGGGACGAAGGACGUGACGGUACCUGCAGAAAAAGCAACGGCUAACUACGUGCCAGCAGCCGCGGUAAUACGUAGGUUGCAAGCGUUGUCCGGAUUUACUGGGUGUAAAGGGCGUGUAGGCGGAGAUGCAAGUUGGGAGUGAAAUCCCGGGGCUCAACCCCGGAACUGCUCUCAAAACUGUAUCCCUUGAGUAUCGGAGAGGCAAGCGGAAUUCCUAGUGUAGCGGUGAAAUGCGUAGAUAUUAGGAGGAACACCAGUGGCGAAGGCGGCUUGCUGGACGACAACUGACGCUGAGGCGCGAAAGCGUGGGGAGCAAACAGGAUUAGAUACCCUGGUAGUCCACGCUGUAACCGUUGUAUACUAGGUGUGGGAGGACUGACCCCUUCCGUGCCGCAGUUAACACAAUAAGUAUCCACCCUKGGGA